rnacentral:lncRNA from 1 species
AUUUAGGUGUGUAUCUAGCCACCCUAAACUUGUUUCAUCAAUCAUCCAUACUUCAAUAAUCAACCUGCAACAUGUAUUAAAAUAGAGUUUCAAUGCAAAAGCAAAGAGCGAGUAUACAACAUAAUAGAAUAAAAACUCAUAUCCAACAUGAACAUAACAAAAUAGUUUCAACGUGCUAGUUUACGUAGUCCAAGUGAUAGCCCAAGUUUCCCAAUGCGUUUAAAGUACCUAACCCAAAGUUUAACGGGAGGUUGUUAUGUCUCCUCCUAACAAUACCCCAAAGACUAACGGGGAGGUGCAUUACUCCUAUAGCGCUACUAUUGUUAAGGCGGAACUACACACAAGAAUUAAACGUUCACAUUGCACAAAAAGUCUCAAGAUUCACAAGUUUCAUGUUUCAUGUUUAAAUGGAUAGAGUAAGUUUCAAAUAAGUUUCAAGUGUCGUGUGCGUUUAAUAUAGAAUACAUGUUGCACCCAAAGUGUUAAAAGUAGAAAUGGGUUCGAGUA